ensembl:lncRNA
UGUGCCCCAAGCCCACCCAGAGCCCUGUAUGGGGUGGGGACACCCACAGGUGGCUGAUAAGGGAGCAGGGAGUGAUAUGGCCCCAGGGUGAGGAGCAGUGCUGGGGUGACUCUACAGAGCCUGUAAAACCUCAUCUGCAGGGAGAAAAGGAGCUGCUGGGGUCCCUUCCUCACCUCAGCCAGCAGAUCUUCCCUGCGCUCUUUGCUUUUUUUUUUUUUAUAUGGAAAACCAAAGACACCAUAAACAGCUAAAAAAGAGCAGUUUGGGCUGUGGCUCUGGCCUGGAGUUACCUGCCUGAGCGCUGGGUUGCAUAGGGAGGGGAUGCUUAAUUGCAACACGUCGCUGGAAGGGAAACGCACGCCUUCCGUGCGUGCUUGUCUUGUCUGCACGGAGGGGAAGCUGCAGCCUCAGACCCCAGGAGCAGCGGGGGAGCUGGGGAGCCUGGGUCCUGCAGUGUGCUGAGCACAGAGCCAUUUAAUUGCCUUCUGCGGCGGCGAAGAUGUGAAAUUAGUCUCCCUUCUGAUCUUGAGCUAAGUUGGUCCAAAGCACCGUCUUAUAAUUUGCUCAGAUCAUCUCGCCGUCGGGUGGUGGAAGACACGGGGCCGGGGCUGCAGGGAGCACUGGAGUUCACACGGGACAGGAGUUCCACCUCGCUGUCCUGGAGUCACGCUGCUGGGUUCGCUUGCGUAGGAAUGGCAAUAUUUAGACUCGGUGCCACUUGCAGGAAGCUUUCAAUCAAGUGCUCUUCUCCAUCUCCCCUAGCAACAGCCGAGAAACGGAGCCGGUCUGGGGGACGGGGGAGAAGCUGAGGCAGGGGCAGCAGCAGGAAGAUGCCUGUCCCCAUCCAUCCUCUGCUGUCCCCGUGCUGGGGACAGCCUCCCUGACCUCCCGUCCAGGCUGGGCGCCUGCAGACGGACCUUUGGAGGCAUCAAAGGAGGUGGAGAUUCCAGCCCCUAUUGAAUUUCUAGUCCCCAACGACCUGAGGGGCAGGGGAAAGAAGGGAACUGGUUUUUGUCUGCUCGGUAUCUCAGACAAUCAAUGAAUUAAAGGGAAAUAAACUGCUGAUGAGGAGCGAACGUGGAGCUCGACGUGCUGCAAAACGUGAGGAGCAGAGAAGCGGCCGUGGCCAUUCCACAGUGCGGGGCAGGAAAGGGACGAUGGUGUGGGCACAGAGAAGGCCUUUCUUUCAUUUGUUCCUGGCCAAGAGCACACGCAGAUCGCCCUGGGGACAGCGGCACUUUCCUCCUCCGCGCAGAAUGUGCUGAAUGCGAGGGUAUUAUUUUUAACAGGGAUAUUUAGCUCCUCUUUACCCUCGUGUAGGUGGUUUACCCUCCACGGCCUCAAUCCCAGGGGAGGCUCCCGGUCAUCGCCCGGCCCCUAAGAACAGCGGAGGAGCAGCAGAGGCUCACAGACACGAG